GUAGGUGGCAAGCGUUGUCCGGAUUUACUGGGUGUAAAGGGCGUGUAGGCGGGGCUGCAAGUCAGAAGUGAAAUCUAUGGGCUUAACCCAUAAACUGCUUUUGAAACUGUAGCUCUUGAGUAUCGGAGAGGCAGGCGGAAUUCCUAGUGUAGCGGUGAAAUGCGUAGAUAUUAGGAGGAACACCAGUGGCGAAGGCGGAUUGCUGGACAGCAACUGACGGUGAGGCGCGAAAGUGUGGGGAGCAAACAGGAUUAGAUACCCUGGUAGUCCACACUGUAAACGAUGAAUACUAGGUGUGCGGGGACUGACCCCCUGCGUGCCGCAGUUAACACAAUAAGUAUUCCACCUGGGGAGU
rnacentral:rRNA from 1 species